rfam:Oryza rufipogon genomic scaffold, chr12
UUUAAGUGCAAUACAUGAGUUUUUGUGUCCAACUUUUAUUGUCCGUCUUAUUUUCAUUUUUUUAUAAUUAGAAUUUUUAUUGUUAAGAGAUGAUAAAACAUUAAUAAUACUUUAUGCGUGACUUAUGCUUUUAAAUUUUUUUAAAAUUUUUCAAAUAAGACGGACGAUCAAAGUUAGGCACGGAAAAUCAUGACUGCAUUUAAA